rnacentral:sRNA from 9 species
CGCCUUUUUGCUAUGCGCAGGAUUUUUGAUUCGAACCUGCAGCAGGUCCGAGUCGAACGUAGUGAGACAACGGAGCCGUUUACGGCGGCGGCCCGAAGGGCGAGCGAAGCGAGUCAUCCUGCACGCCCCACCA